rnacentral:lncRNA from 1 species
UAUAAACGCCAUGCGUAAUAACGUCCGAGAGGUCCCGUGUUCUUAUAAAGAUGUUUUGACAUAAUGAAGUGUUCACAUAACGUCAUAUGUGUUUCUUACCUCGUAAUACCCAUUUGACAUUACGAUGUAUAUAUUUUGGCAUAAUGUAAUAGAAAUACGACAUAAAGAUUUUUUAACAUAACGUAAAGAAAUUUUCGCAUCAUGUAAUAAAACUUUCAGAUUAGGUAAUGAAACAACCACAUCACUUAAUGAAGUUUUCACAUCAUGUAAAGAGGAAACCACAUCAUAUAAUGAAGUUUUCACAUCAUGUAAAGAAGAUUUUACAUCAUGUAAAGAA